rnacentral:rRNA from 1 species
GAUGAACGCUAGCGGUGUGCUUAAUGCAUGCAAGUCGAACGAUAACUUUUGAUUCGUCGAAAGGGAAAGUGGCGAACGGGUGAGUAACACAUAGGUGACCUGCCCCGAAGAGGGGGACAACCAUUAGAAAUGAUGGCUAAUACCCCAGACGUUGACCUUUUUAGAAAGGGUUGACUAAAGCUCCGGCGCUUCGGGAGGGGCCUGUGUCCCAUCAGCUAGUUGGUAAGGUAACGGCUUACCAAGGCGAAGACGGGUAGGGGGCGUGAGAGCGCGACCCCCCACACUGGUACUGAUACACGGACCAGAUACCUACGGGUAGCAGCAGCAAGGAAUAUUGCGCAAUGGGCGAAAGCCUGACGCAGCAACACCGCGUGAAGGACGAAGGCUCUCGGGUCGUAAACUUCUUUUCUGGGGGAUGAGAAAGGACAGUACCCCAGGAAUAAGCCUCGGCUAACUACG